rnacentral:rRNA from 1 species
AUUGAACGCUGGCGGCAGGCCUAACACAUGCAAGUCGAGCGGAUGAAGGGAGCUUGCUCCUGGAUUCAGCGGCGGACGGGUGAGUAAUGCCUAGGAAUCUGCCUGGUAGUGGGGGAUAACGUCCGGAAACGGGCGCUAAUACCGCAUCCGUCCUGAGGGAGAAAGUGGGGGAUCUUCGGACCUCACGCUAUUAGAUGAGCCUAGGUCGGAUUAGCUAGUUGGUGGGGUAAAGGCCUACCAAGGCGACGAUCCGUAACUGGUCUGAGAGGAUGAUCAGUCACACUGGAACUGAGACACGGUCCAGACUCCUACGGGAGGCAGUAGUGGGGAAUAUUGGACAAUGGGCGAAAGCCUGAUCCAGCCAUGCCGCGUGUGUGAAGAAGGUCUUCGGAUUGUAAAGCACUUUAAGUUGGGAGGAAGGGCAGUAAGUUAAUACCUUGCUGUUUUGACGUUACCAACAGAAUAAGCACCGGCUAACUUCGUG